GAUGAACGCUAGCGGCAGGCCUAAUACAUGCAAGACGAACGGUAAGCUUUGUAGCAAUACGGAGCCUAGAGUGUCGCAAGGGUGCGUAACACGUAUGCAAUCUACCCUGUACAGGAGUAUAGCUCCCCGAAAGGGGAAUUAACCCUCCAUAACAUGAUGAGUCGGCAUCGACUUAUUAUUAAAACUGAGGUGGUACAGGAUGAGCAUGCGUCUGAUUAGCUAGUUGGUGGUGUAAUGGACUACCAAGGCAAUGAUCAGUAGGUGGUCUGAGAGGAUGAUCAGCCGCACUGGGACUGAGACACGGCCCAGACUCCUACGGGAGGCAGCAGUGGGGAAUAUUGGACAAUGGGCGAAAGCCUGAUCCAGCAAUGCCGCGUGAGUGAUGAAGGCCUUAGGGUUGUAAAGCUCUUUUACCCGGGAUGAUAAUGACAGUACCGGGAGAAUAAGCUCCGGCUAACUCCGUGCCAGCAGCCGCGGUAAU
rnacentral:rRNA from 1 species